rnacentral:rRNA from 1 species
AGAGUUUGAUCAUGGCUCAGAAUGAACGCUGGCGGUAUGCUUAACACAUGCAAGUCGAACGUUAAGACUGUUACAGUAGCAAUACUGUAAUGAGCAAGGCGUGGCAGACGGGUGAGUAAUGUAUGAGAACAUGCCCUUAAAUACAGAAUAACGCUUGGAAACGAGUGAUAAUACUGCAUAAACCCAGAAGUAAAAUUUUGGGGAAAGGAUUAUAGGCGAAAGUUUAUAAUUCGUUUAAGGAGUGGCUCAUAUCAGAUUAGGUAGUUGGUGAGGUAAUAGCUCACCAAGCCUGUGAUCUGUAGCUGAUUUGAGAGGAUGAUCAGCCACACUGGGACUGAGACACGGCCCAGACUCCUACGGGAGGCAGCAGUGGGGAAUAUUGGACAAUGGGGGAAACCCUGAUCCAGCAAUACCGCGUGAAUGAUGAAGGCCCUCGGGUUAUAAAGUUCUUUUAUCAGGGAAGAUUAUGACGGUACCUGAUGAAUAAGCACCGGCUAACUUCGUGCCAGCAGCCGCGGUAAUACGAAGGGUGCUAGCGUUGUUCGGAAUUAUUGGGCGUAAAGGGCGCGUAGGCGGAAUCGUGCGUCGGGUGUGAAAGCCCCAGGCUCAACCUGGGAAUUGCAUUCGAUACGACGGAUCUAAGAGUACGAAAAGAGGAAACGGAAUGGCGAGUGGAGCAGUGAAAUGCGUUGAUAUUCGUUGGAACACCGGAGGCGAAGGCGGUUUCCUGGUUCGUAACUGACGCUGAGGCGCGAAAGUGUGGGGAGCAAACAGGAUUAGAUACCCUGGUAGUCCACACUGUAAACGAUGCAUACUAGAUGUUGGGGUCUCAAGACUUCAGUGUCGCAGCUAACGCGUUAAGUAUGCCGCCUGGGGAGUACGGUCGCAAGAUUAAAACUUAAAGGAAUUGACGGGGACCCGCACAAGCGGUGGAGUAUGUGGUUUAAUUCGAGGCUACGCGAAAAACCUUACCAGUUCUUGACAUGGGGAUCGUAGAGCAUAGAGAUGUGCUCGUCAGUUCGGCUGGAUCCCACACAGGUGCUGCAUGGCUGUCGUCAGUUCGUGUCGUGAGAUGUUGGGCUAAGUCCCGCAACGAACGCAACCCUUGCUGCCAGUUACCAACACGUAAAGGUGGGGACUUUGGCAGAACCGCCGGUGACAAACCGGAGGAAGGUGGGGACGACGUCAAGUCAUCAUGGCCCUUAUGGACUGGGCUACACACGUACUACAAUGGAUGUGACAGAGUGAAGCAAAGCUAUUUAAAAGCGGAGCAAAACACUAAAAGCAUCCUCAGUUCAGAUUGUCCUCUGCAACUCGAGGGCAUGAAGGCGGAAUCGCUAGUAAUCGCAGAUCAGCAUGCUGCGGUGAAUACGUUCUCGGGUCUUGUACACACUGCCCGUCACACCAUGGGAGUUGGUUCUGCCUGAAGGCGGUGAGCUAACCUAGCAAUAGGAGGCAGCCGACCACGGUAGGGUCGAUGACUGGGGUUAAGUCGUAACAAGGUA